rnacentral:misc_RNA from 1 species
GAACGCACAUUGCGCCCCCUGGUAUUCCGGGGGGCACACCUGUUCGAGCGCCAUUUCAACCCUCAAGCCUUGCUUGUUGAUGGGCCCCGCCCGCGCGGCGGGCCCGAAACUCGUGGGCGCCCCAGGCCGGACUCCAAGCGUAGCAAAACCCUCGCUUGCGGACGACCGGUCGGAGGCCGCCCCGGACCCCCAAUAUUUAUCAAUGGUUGGCCUCGGAUCAGGUGGGGAUACCCGCUGAACUUAAG